rnacentral:rRNA from 1 species
AUUGAACGCUGGCGGCAUGCCUUACACAUGCAGGUCGAACGGCAGCACGGGGCAACCUGGUGGCGAGUGGCGAACGGGUGAGUAAUGCAUCGGGACGUACCUUUCAGUGGGGGAUAACGUAGCGAAAGUUACGCUAAUACCGCAUAUUCUGUGAGCAGGAAAGCAGGGGAUCGCAAGACCUUGCGCUGAUUGAGCGGCCGAUGUCAGAUUAGCUAGUCGGUGAGGUAAAGGCUCACCAAGGCGACGAUCUGUAGCGGGUCUGAGAGGAUGAUCCGCCACACUGGAACUGAGACACGGUCCAGACUCCUACGGGAGGCAGCAGUGGGGAAUUUUGGACAAUGGGGGCAACCCUGAUCCAGCCGUGCCGCGUGAGUGAAGAAGGCCUUCGGGUUGUAAAGCUCUUUCGGCCGGGAAGAAAUCGUAUGGGUUAAUACCCUGUGCGGAUGACGGUACCGGCAUAAGAAGCACCGGCUAACUACGUGCCAGCAGCCGCCGUAACAC